rnacentral:lncRNA from 1 species
CUCCAGGGGUAUUUCACAUGGGCUCCCAGCCCUCUGCAUGUGCCUGGGCUGUUUCUCAGUUCCAGCCUGUUGAUCCCUGCACUGGCCAAGGGCUGAUGCUUCCCCUGCCAUGCUGACUUCAAGUCAUGCAGACACCUGAUGGAAGAGUCUUCCAGGCAGAAGGAAGGACAAAUACCCUUGAUAUACAUGUACUUGGCCGGCAUGAGGAAGAGCAAUGUGGAAGGAUACAGAUAGUUGGGAACAUAUAGUGCCUGUGAAUGACCAGUAUGCUCACUCCAAUAACAUCAGGCAAGCAAUUCCACAUAAUACUGAAGAAGGCUGUUGAAGUGACUGAAUCUGGCCAAAUAUUCUGAGCGUUUCGGAGGGAUUUUUAACAUUCUAAAUGCUAUCUGGAACAUCGAUGCAGCAUGGGAAGAAGUCACACAGCCAUGCAUGAACAGCAUUUGGAAGAAAGUUUUGAAGACAUAUGUGAACACAUUCAAAAUGUUAACAGAGAUUCUGCCGUAUUCAUAAGCUUGUUGGCAUCGAGGCUGAAGAGCUUUCCAAUGAGAAGCUGGAAAAAGAAAGAAGUAAAGAAGUUGGGGCAAAGAUAGAAGAAAUUGUUCCUGAGGCACCAAGAAAGUUCAUAGCAAAUAAACUGGCAGCGGUGUUUUCUACUAUCAGCAGUGGUGUGUGAAUGUUAGGACAAAUGGGUGACAAUUACAAUUGCUAUCACACACAUAUUGUUCCAUAGUCUCUCCUGUUCUUUGCCAGCCUUAUUACCUUUUCUUUUUUCCCUAUUAAUCCAAGAGCUCUAUGGGAGUAAAAAGGAUGCUCUUCCUUGCAAUGAAGAAAUAUGUAAUGAAAAGAAAAAACAUAUUGUCAAAACUUGGUAUCUACCUGAAGAACACUUUGCCUUCUAAACCAUAAACAAGUGUCAGUGUCCCAGUGCCUUCUGCCAGCUAUUCUCAAGACUCAUCAGAAGAGAGUGAAAUUGAUGACUCUGUAGCUGUAGCAUCCCCAUUAUCAGCACUUAAUUUUAGCUUAAUGCUUUGAACAUUCUUCAGGCUCAGUGUGCUUUCAUCUGUACACAUUAAUGGAAAUCUGGAGAUAGAAAGAUUUGGGUAUUGGUUCAGCAGCUCAAUGAUGCCAGGGCCAGUGUGUUGGCAUUCUUCUGGCCUUAUCCUCAUGGUUGCAAAUUGGUUCCUGCUGUCCCCAGUCAAAGGAGGAAGAAGAGGGAAUUGGCAGCAGUUAUCAGAGCCUUUAUCAGAAAAGCACAGAUUUCCCAGGAAUCCCCAGGAGACUUCUGGUUACAGUCCAUUGGCCAUAAUGUGGUCAAAUGGGCUUCCCUAUCAACAAGGGAGACAGAGAAACCACUGAGAUCUUUGGUGUUAUCUUCUAGAUGAUCUGGACUCCACGUAUUAAAGGUAUUGACCUCUUGUUUGCCCUAUUGUUAACAAAUAUAUCUUCUGGUAUUUUGUUUACAUUUAGGAUACUUUUGAUGUAUAGAAAUAUUUAAAUGUUUUCCUCUGAAACGUUUUCUAUUGCUAGUACAUUUAGAAAACGUUUUUACUUCUAAAGAUCAUAUAGUCAUCAAAUUUAUUUGUAGUUUUUUUUUAUACUUUAAGUUCUAGGGUACACG